UACGUAGGGGCCUAGCGUUGUCCGGAUUUAUUGGGCGUAAAGAGCUCGUAGGCGGCUGUUCGAGUCGGGUGUGAAAUCCUGAGGCUUAACCUUGGGUCUGCAUUCGAUACUGGGCGGCUUGAGGACUGGAGAGGAGACUGGAAUUCAUGGUGUAGCAGUGAAAUGCGUAGAGAUCAUGAGGAAGACCAGUGGCGAAGGCGGGUCUCUGGACAGUUCCUGACACUGAGGCACGAAGGCCAGGGGAGCAAACGGG
rnacentral:rRNA from 1 species